rnacentral:rRNA from 1 species
GACGAGGGGUCCAAGCGUUGUUCGGAAUCAUUGGGCGUAAAGCGGGUGUAGGUGGCUCUAUAAGUCAGGAGUGAAAUCCCCGAGCUUAACUUGGGAAGUGCUUUUGAUACUGCAGAGCUUGAAUGUGGGAGAGGAUCGUGGAAUUCCAGGUGUAGUGGUGAAAUACGUAGAUAUCUGGAGGAACACCGGUGGCGAAGGCGGCGAUCUGGCCCAACAUUGACACUGAGACCCGAAAGCAUGGGGAUCAAACAGG